UACGUAGGGUGCAAGCGUUGUCCGGAAUUAUUGGGCGUAAAGAGCGUGUAGGCGGCCCGGUAAGUCCGCUGUAAAAGUCAAAGGCUCAACCUUUGAAUGUCAGUGGAUACUGCCGGGCUAGAGUCCGGAAGAGGCGAGUGGAACUCCUGGUGUAGCGGUGGAAUGCGCAGAUAUCAGGAAGAACACCAACGGCGAAGGCGCUCUGCUAGGCCGCAACUGACACUGAGGGACGAAAGCUAGGGGAGCGAAUGGG
rnacentral:rRNA from 1 species